UGCAGGACACAGGAAGAAAAGCAGCCUGAAAUCUGAGCUGCCUGCCGUCUACGGAAGACCCUGCUCUGGGUCACAAUAUACCUGAGAUAUAAGAUACAAUUUGCAAAACACAUGAAACUGAGGAUUGCUCGGCAUCACAGCUGCAAGGGAAUUCCAGUUGGCUGGAACAGGAUUGUGCCGGGAGUUACUUCAUCUCUUAACUCUUGAUCCCCACAUAGAAACAACUUGAGCUUGGGAAUGACUAAGGUCUCGGGUAGAGCCAAUGUCUUUUGACUCCACUUCUCUGCUUUUGGAUCGAACUGCUAAGAAAGCAAAGCCCGUGCCACAUGUGAUUUUUCUACCAUGUGUGAUUCUC
rnacentral:lncRNA from 1 species